GUUACGGCUCAGUUACACGUAGUCAACCUGCCCUGGAGACAUGGACAACCCCGGGAAACUGGGAUUAAUCCGUGAUAGGUCAUCUCAUCUGGAAGGAGAGAUGGCUUAAAGGGGUACACGGGCUUCUUCUGUGAAUUCGCUCCAGGAUGGGACUGCGUCCGAUCAGGCUGUUGGCGGGGUAAUGGCCCACCAAACCUGUAACCGGUACGGGCGCUUGAGAGAGGUGGCCCGGAGAUGGACACUGAGAGAAGGGUCCUAGGUCCUACGGGGCGCAGCAGGCGCGAAAACCUUCGCAAUGCGCGAAAGCGUGACGAGGUUAAUCCGAGUGGCCCCCGCUGAGGGGGUCUUUUGUCAGCUGUAAAUAGGCAGGCGAAUAAGGGGAGGGCAAGCCUGGUGUCAGCCGCCGCGGUAAUACCAGCUCCUCGAGUGGUCGGGGCGAUUAUUGGGCCUAAAGCAUCCGUAGCCGGUUCCGUAGGUCC
rnacentral:rRNA from 1 species